AGCAGCCGCGGUAAUUCCAGCUCCAAUAGCGUAUAUUAAAGUUGUUGCAGUUAAAAAGCUCGUAGUUGAAUUUCGGGAUUAAUUUAUUGGUCGUGCUAUUGUACGUACUGGUAUUAUUGAUUCCUACCUUCUGACGAACCACGAUGUCAUUAAUUUGGUGUCAUGGGGAAUCAGGACUGUUACUUUGAAAAAAUUAGAGUGUUUAAAGCAGGCUCACGCUUGAAUACAUUAGCAUGGAAUAACGAAAUAGGACGUUUGAUUCUAUUUUGUUGGUUUCUAGGAUCGACGUAAUGAUUAAUAGGGAUAGUUGGGGGCAUUAGUAUUCAAUUGUCAGAGGUGAAAUUCUUGGAUUUAUUGAAGACUAACUACUGCGAAAGCAUUUGCCAAGGAUGUUUUCAUUAAUCAAGAACGAAAGUUAGGGGAUCGAAGACGAUCAGAUACCGUCGUAGUCUUAACCAUAAACUAUGCCGACUAGGGAUCGGAUGAUGUUAAUUUUUAAUGUACUCAUUCGGCGCCUUAC
rnacentral:rRNA from 1 species